UGAUAGCCAUCUGAUAAUUGGUGAAACACUUGAAGAUAGCCAACACGAUCAAAAAGCUAAAUCUAAGGUGUUUAACUUUAAGCUGAUGAAUAAGUUUGAUGAAAAAAGGAGGAAAAAGUAUGACAAGCGAGCUCUUCAAGACUCUCCAACUUUUACGGCUAAAGAUGUUGCUGCCCUAGAAGUCGUAGUUGAUUUAUUAA
rnacentral:misc_RNA from 1 species